GGCUUGCAGGUGGUGCUGUUCUCUACCUAGGCUGGUUUCUCCAGCUCUGAGGUGCCUUGGGAAAGAGGUGGAUGCUGCCAGGAUGCAUCUGGGAGCUGCUGCUUACACGUUGAAUCUACUGGGACCUCUGGAGAAAGCUUGGGAAUUGACCACAUCUUUCAAACGACUUUCUCAACACAAGGAUCUCCGACUGCAGGCUCGGAAGGGAGAGCAGGAGGUUUCACCAGGCUGCAAACGCUGCCGAUGCUCAUAGCUCAGAUCUGGAGCUGGAAUGUGGGGCUGCAUCCAGAGCCCUGCAUCUGGGCACCUCCGAGCUGGGGAGCUUCCAUGGCAGCGUUAACUUCUCCAGGUGUUUCUCGGAGCCUGCUGGACUUUGCGAACUGAGUCCAGCUGCUGCAGUGACAAGGCAAGGAGAGGGGCAUCGUGGAAGCACAAGUUCGCACAAAACCCCUACCCUGCCUGUCCUGUCUGUGUUAGAACCGGCAAAUAAGAGCUGCGAGUGAUAUGCACGGGACUGAAGUACUUGUGUAGCCAAUUGUGACUUAUAUCUGCCAGCUCGUUUUUAUUCGUUUGUUUUCAGUUGUGCUCUCUCUGAGCUGGCGUUCAGGAUCCCCCCUUCUGGACAGGCAAACCCAGAAACUGCCAAUCCUCCAGGGUAGAGAGGGCUCCGUUUGCAUCGAGAAUCCUCCCUGAAGUCCUGGAAGCUGCACUGUAGUAAACUCGAAACUCRCUCUGGUUCCUCCGGAUAGUACUUCUGAGGGGAGAACAACGCGUGGAAAGGGGAUUGUGAUCCCACUCCUGCCCCCUGCUCUCUGGAUGUGCKGCGCAGUUCGAGCGGAGGGGACGAGCCGAGGAAAGGAAACUAAA